rfam:Camelus ferus unplaced genomic scaffold scaffold632, whole genome shotgun sequence.
UUAACGGAGGAGCAUCUAAACUGGUUCCAGCCGAUGAACUCGCAGGUGUAGGCAGUGUGUUACAUGAGGGGCAAGUUUUUCUUUAACAGCACGAGGGUCUCUAGCCCAAUGAGUGGAGUUUGAUAGUAGUACUUGCUACAAGU